GUUGUAUGGUUAAGUGACUAAGCGUAUACGGUGGAUGCCUUGGCAGUCAGAGGCGAUGAAGGACGUAGUAACUUGCGAAAAGCGUUGGCGAGCUAGUAACAAGCAUUUGAGCUAACGAUAUCCGAAUGGGAAACCCACUCAUGAGUAUCACAUACUGAAUACAUAGGUAUGUGAGGCAAACCCGGGAACUGAAACAUCUAAGUACCCGGAGGAAAAGAAAUCAACCGAGAUUCCCUAGUAGCGGCGAGCGCGGGGAUUAGCCCUAAGUCUAUGGGGUGUUAGUGGAAUGAGUUGAAAGCUCAGCGGCACAGGGUGAUAGCCCGUACAUGAAAACCAUAGAUGAAAACAGUAGGACGGACACGUGACAUCUUGUCACAGACAUGGAGCAUCCUCCAAGGCUAAAUACUCCUGACUGACCGAUAGUGAAACGGGGAUUAGCCCUAAGUCUAUGGGGUGUUAGUGGAAUGAGUUGGAAAGCUCAGCGGCACAGGUGAUAGCCCCGUACAUGAAAACUAACCAUAGAUGAAAACGAGUAGGACAGGACACGUGACAUCUUGUCUGAACAUGGACCAUCCUCCAAGGCUAAAUACUUGACUGACCGAUAGUGAACCAGUACCGUGAGGGAAAGGCGAAAAGAACCCCUGUGAGGGGAGUGAAAUAGAACCUGAAACCGUAUACGUACAGCAGGGAGUCCCUGAGACCGUGACUGCGUACCUUUGUAUAAUGGGUCAGCGACUUACAUUUUGUAGCAAGGUUAAGCGAAUAGCGGAGCCGUAGGGAAACCGAGUGUUAACUGCGCGUUUAGUUGCAAGGUGUAGACCCGAAACCGAGUGAUUCAGCCAUGGGCAGGUUGAAGGUUGAGUAACAUCAACUGGAACCGAACACACGUAUGGAUAUCUGGUUCUCCUCGAAAGCUAUUUAGGUAGCGCCUCGUACGAAUACCAUUGGGGUAGAGCACUGUUAAGGCUAGGGGUCAUCCCGACUUACCAACCCUUUGCAAACCCGAAUACCAAUGAGUACUAUACGGGAGACACACGGCGGGUGCUAACGUCCGUCGUGAAAAGGGAAACAACCCAGACCAUCAGCUGAUCCCAAAGUUAUUGCUAAGUGGGAAACGAUGGGAAGGCUUAGACAGCUAGGAUGUUGGCUUAGAAGCAGCCAUCAUUUAAAGAAAGCGUAAUAGCUCACUAGUCGAGUCGGCCUGCGCGGAAGAUUUAACGGGCUAAGCAAUACACCGAAGCUAUGGGUUUGCUAGUUUACUAGCAAGCGGUAGAGGAGCGUUCUGUAAGCCGUUGAAGGCGAAGGGUAACCCACGCUGGAGGUAUCAGAAGUGCGAAUGCUGACAUGAGUAACGAUAAAGGGAGUGAAAACUCCUCGCCGAAAGACCAAGGUUUCUGUCCAAUGUUAAUCAGGGCAGGUAAGUCGACCCCUAAGGUGAGGCCGAAAGGCGUAAUCGAUGGGAAACGGGUUAAUAUUCCCGUACUUCUACUAACUGCGAUGGAGAGACGGAGAAGCUAGGCUAGCGCGGCGUUGGUUGUCCGCGUUUAAGGCUGUAGGCUGUUCACUUAGGCAUGCCAUGGGAAAAUCUUCUAAGCUUCAGGUUAGUAGGAAUCGUACUGACACAGGUGGUUGGGUAGAGAAUACCAAGGCGCUUGAGAGAACUCGGCUGAAGGAACUAGGCAAAUGGUACCGUAACUUCGGGAAGGUACGCUGCCGGCGUGAUGGGACUUGCUCAAGCUGCUGGCGUCGCAGAUCCAGGUGGCUGCAACUGUUUAUCAAAACACAGUACUGUGCAAACUCGCAAGAGGAAGUAUACGGUAUGACGCCUGCCCGGUGCCGGAAGGUUAAUUGAUUGGGUUAUCUUCGGAGAAGCUCAUGAUCAAGCCCGGUAAACGGCGGCCGUAACUAUAACAUCUGGUAGCGAAAUUCCUUGUCGGGUAAGUUCCGACCUGCACGAAUGGCGUAAUGACGGCCACGCUGUCUCCAGCCGAGACUCAGUGAAGUUGAAAUUGCGGUGAAGAUGCCGUAUACCCGCGGCUAGACGGAAAGACCCCGUGCACCUUUACUAUAGCUUGGCACUGAACAUUGAACCUACAUGUGUAGGAUAGGUGGGAGACUUUGAAGCAGAGACGCUAGUUUUUGUGGAGUCAACCUUGAAAUACCACCCUUGUAGUUUUGAUGUUCUAACUCGGCCCCUGAAUCGGGUUGAGGACAGUCUUAUGUGGGUAGUUUGACUGGGGCGGUCUCCUCCCAAAGAGUAACGGAGGAGCACGAAGGUUGGCUAAGUACGGUCGGACAUCGUACGGUUAGUGCAAUGGCAUAAGCCAGCUUAACUGCAGACAUACACGUCGAGCAGGUACGAAAGUGAGUCAUAGUGAUCCGGUGGUUCUGAAUGGAAGGGCCAUCGCUCAACGGAUAAAAGGUACGCCGGGGAUAACAGGCUGAUACCGCCCAAGAGUUCAUAUCGACGGCGGUGUUUGGCACCUCGAUGUCGGCUCAUCACAUCCCGGCUGAAGUCGGUCAAAGGGUAUGGCUGUUCGCCAUUUAAAGUGGUACGCGAGCUGGGUUCAGAACGUCGUGAGACAGUUCGUCCUAUCUGCCGUGGGCGUUGGAUGAUUGAAGGAAGCUGCUCCUAGUACGAGGAGGAGUGGACGAACCGCUGGUGUUCGGUUGUUAUGCCAAUAGCAUUGCCCGGUAGCUACGUUCGGAAUCGAUAACCGCUGAAAGCAUCUAAGCGGAAGCGAGUCCUAAGAUGAGUCAUCCCUAGAAUUUAAUUCCUCUAAAGAGCCGUUCGAGACUAGGACGUUGAUAGGCAGGGUGUGUAAGCGUUGUGAGGCGUUGAGCUAACCUGUACUAAUGACUCGUGAGGCUUAACCAUACAACCCAGAUGGGUUUGU
rnacentral:rRNA from 17 species